GACGAACGCUGGCGGCGUGCUUAACACAUGCAAGUCGAACGAUGAAGCUGGAGCUUGCUCUAGCGGAUUAGUGGCGAACGGGUGAGUAACACGUGAGCAAUCUGCCCUUGACUCUGGGAUAACUGCGGGCAACUGUAGCUAAUACCGGAUACUUUCACCGGGGUGCAUCCUCUGGUGAUGAAAGAACUUCGGUCAAGGAUGAGCUCGCGGCCUAUCAGCUUGUUGGUGAGGUAACGGCUCACCAAGGCGAGAACGGGUAACCGGCCUGAGAGGGGGACCGGUCACACUGGGACUGAGACACGGCCCAGACUCCUACGGGAGGCAGCAGUGGGGAAUAUUGCACAAUGGGCGCAAGCCUGAUGCAGCAACGCCGCGUGAGGGAUGAAGGCCUUCGGGUUGUAAACCUCUUUUAGCAGGGAAGAAGCGAAAGUGACGGUACCUGCAGAAAAAGCACCGGCUAACUACGUGCCAGCAGCCGCCGUAA
rnacentral:rRNA from 1 species